UCGCCAUAACGCUCGCCUGCACCAAAAACACCCGACCGCUAUUUCCCGAAACCCUCGACUACAGCGGAGAAGGAAUUCACAACGGGAGCUAACGCUGGAGAAGGCGUCGACGGGAUCGGCAGAGCUUGUGAGAUUUGUGGAAUUAAGUUUAAUUAUCCUAUGUCCGGAUUUGUUAAAUCCCGAAUUUAAGCUGGGAAGAAAUGAAAUGUAAGAUUCUGUAAGAUUUAGGGGCUGCCAAACUGCAUCUUAAAGAUGUCAUCUUUUUUGUUUGGGAGUAUUUAUGUUAAAUCCUGCGCAAAUCCGAUUCAAACCCUGCCACCAAACAGCCUCGUAGAUUCUUCCAUCUUUGUUGACUUUAUAUCCUUGGGUUUGGUGCUGUGUUGAUGGUUGUUAGUGUUUGAGUGGAAGUUGAGGAAUUCUCGGAUAUAAGAUGGUUAGAUUGUUCUUAGGCCCACCACCUUCAGGUAUCUUCGGAGACAGAGAUGCUGUGAAGGAGAGAGUAGAACUUUUGGAAAAACUUGAAUCAGUUAUAUGGUCCGCUAUGGUCUCCGGUGAUCGAUAUGAAGCUCGCCUAUGGCUUUGCAAUACGAUUUCAUCCAUUCACUCUAUAACUCUUCGUGAGCAAUGUAAGUUGUUUAUUGACUUAUUGAGACUCAAGAAGUCAAAGCAUGAUGUUGCGGCUCGAUUGUUGCAGAUGAUCUUUGAAAAUAGGCCAGGCUUAGCUGGUUCUAUCAUUGCAAAGAAGAUCUGCAUGCUUGAGAAGUUUUUUGAAGGGAAUCCAAGACGUAUUUUGGAAUGGUUUGAUCACUUUGCCACUGUUGGAGAAUCAGGGCAUAAAAAAGGAGCCAGAGCACUCUCCAAGUUUGCUUUUAUGAACCGCAACACAUGCUGGGAGGAGCUUGAGUGGAAAGGAAGACAUGGACAGUCUCCAGCAGUUGUUGCCACCAAACCCCAUUAUUUCCAUGAUCUGGAUGUUCUUCAGACUGUAGAGAACUUUCUUAAGUAUGUGCCAGAUUUUUGGUCUUCAGAUGAACUUGCCGAAUCUGUUAAAGAUGGUGAAAUCUUAAAGAUUGAUCAAAAAUAUUUUAUAGAUUCAUUUCUUCACUGGAUGUAUGAAGAAAAUUUAGACGGAGUAUGGGUGGCCGUAGAGGAGUUUAUGAUGAAUCAGCAAUUCUCAUUUCUUUGCCAGCAUCUACUUGUUGUUGUGGAUGAUUCCAGGAUGCUAACUUUUUUUAAUUCUAUCAGUAAAUUCAUUAAUGUAGAUGCACAAUGCAAGGAAUUAAAACACCCAUCAUGUUGGCUAGAGUACCUCUUGUCAACUUGCAGUGGUUCUGUAUCUGUUGAAGAAUAUAUCUUGCUGAAUGCUGUAAUUUCUCAUGGAAGACAGCUUCUACGUCUAAUGACUAAUGAAGAGCAUGAGAGUGAGAAGCAAAAGCUGGAGAAGCUAUUGAUGAAUGCCUUGAAAUUUUGUGAUACUGAUCACUGGUAUUUCAUAAAAGAAUGCACGGAGAUGGAAAAGAAGAUAGCAAUAAAAUUGAUUGGGCUUCAGUCUUGGGUUAUUCAGUAUCAUUUGGCACAGGAAUGCAAAACUCAACAAUCAUGUGAAUUAUUGUUUUCUGAGAAUGGAAUAAGUUUUCGCAGGGCUGAGAAGUUCUAUCUGUUACAAUCUAAUGGAACUUUAGAAGAACAUGGUUCAGAGAUUGAUGAUGAAGAUUUUGAUAGACGAAGUCACAAUAGGAGAAGGAAAGAAAAGAAGAGGAGGAAAAAGAAACAGAAUCAUGCUAAUGAAAGUGCUGAUGAGCUUUUGGAAUUUGAACCUUUGAACAGUUUGCAUGAUUGUAAAUCAGGAGGGAGGAGUUGGCUGCUCUCUACCAACAAUUAUUCCUGUGCCUGGAAUGCUGCUGAUUUGCCGGAUCAUUUUGCCAAGCGUUGUUUUUCUACGUGGAUGAAAUGGGUCUUAUCUAUGUGGUAGCUCUUAAUUUCACGAGUGGAUGUACAUUUCAGUUUAUCAAGUAUGGACAUCGUCAAUGGUGAUAUAUGUUAGUGAUCUCUUCAAAGAGAGAACUGAAAACAAGCCCAGUAUUAACAACUGGAUGAUUCACCGCAAGGCAAAGAAGAGUACUGUGUGAAUAUCCAUGAGUGUAUUUGUUUGAUGGCUGAUAGUGUGAAUGAAGUUGCUAACGUUAUCAAUAUCUCAAUAACAUCUCCAAAGGAAAUUCGAAAUAUGUAUAGUGAAUUGAUGCUUGAGUUAACAAAUAUUCCUGGCUUCUCAGUAGAAGAGGUUGAUACGAUAUAUGAUAAUUUAUUAAAAAAUCCUACACUUAUAUCAUUUUUAUUUUUCAAAACCUACUGAUUCGAAGGCUAGGUGGAUGCGCAAGGAGCUAGGAAAUUGAUUUAUAUUUUUGAAGAUUGGCAUAUUUAUUAAGUUGUUAUCAUUAAAAAUUGUUUCGUAUAACAUUGUUGUAAUUAUAACUACGAAUAAUGGGUAUUGUUUUA